rnacentral:rRNA from 1 species
AUGCAAGUCGAACGGAAAGGCUCCUGCUUGCAGGGGUACUCGAGUGGCGAACGGGUGAGUAACACGUGGGUGAUCUGCCUUGUACUUCGGGAUAAGCCUGGGAAACUGGGUCUAAUACCGGAUAGGACCAUGCUUUAGUGUGUGUGGUGGAAAGUUUUUUCGGUACAAGAUGAGCCCGCGGCCUAUCAGCUUGUUGGUGGGGUAAUGGCCUACCAAGGCGACGACGGGUAGCCGGCCUGAGAGGGUGUACGGCCACAUUGGGACUGAGACACGGCCCAGACUCCUACGGGAGGCAGCAGUGGGGAAUAUUGCACAAUGGGCGCAAGCCUGAUGCAGCGACGCCGCGUGAGGGAUGACGGCCUUCGGGUUGUAAACCUCUUUCGCUAGGGAAGAAGCCAUUGUGGUGACGGUACCUGGAUAAGAAGCACCGGCUAACUA